CCGCACGAGCGCAACCCUGCAUUCAGUUGCCAUCGGGUGGAGGCCGGGCGACUCUGGAAGGACUGCCAUCGACAAGAUGGAGGAAGGUGGGGACGACGUCAAGUCAUCAUGGCCCUUAUGUCCAGGGCGACACACGUGCUACAAUGGCCGGCACAACGGGAAGCGAGUUCGCGAGGACGAGCGGAUCCCUUAAAGCCGGUCGCAGUUCGGAUUGAAGUCUGCAACUCGACUUCAUGAAGCUGGAAUCGCUAGUAAUCGCAGAUCAGCCAAGCUGCGGUGAAUACGUUCCCGGGCCUU
rnacentral:rRNA from 1 species